rnacentral:rRNA from 1 species
GACAGAGGAUGCAAGCGUUAUCCGGAAUGAUUGGGCGUAAAGCGUCUGUAGGUGGCUUUUUAAGUCCGCCGUCAAAUCCCAGGGCUCAACCCUGGACAGGCGGUGGAAACUACCAAGCUGGAGUACGGUAGGGGCAGAGGGAAUUUCCGGUGGAGCGGUGAAAUGCGUAGAUAUCGCUUGGAACGCCGAAGGUGAAAACAGGUUGCUGGGGUUGUGCCGACGCUGAGACACGAAAGCCAGGGGAGCAAACGGG